UAGUCGCAUCCGGUCCGUCAAAUGUCUUAUGAUCUAUAGAGCCCUUUUGAUUUUUCUAUGGCAACAUUUGCUAUGCUGACGUCAUUGCCACGUCAUUACUGUCAGUCAGACAGAAAUAAAAGAAAAAUGGAUGCCGUUCAGACGUACACGCAUUAUUUGGAACUGAAAAUUACGUAAUUUAUCGACCUGCUGGCUUGUAUUUGUUAUAAAUCAUAAAAAAAUUAUGGAAAACAUCAUGAACAAUAAUGAAACAAACCGAACCUUUAGCUACAAUAAUAAAAUGACCCCAUGACGCCAGUGGAACUACGUGGUUUUCUUCAUGAUGAUUUGAUGAUACCAUAAUGGAAUUAGCCAAGUUUUCGCCGUAUUGGGUGCUAGAUGCCCCUUGGAGUUAAGCCCCAGUGCCACUAUACUACCUUACCAGUUAUGUGUGGGUGUCCUAAGACACCCCGGAGGUACAAAGGGCCUUCACAAACUCACGCCACGCCUUCCUAUCUUCGGCAACCCUCGUGACCUCGCUCCACCAGCUCAAACCUGCCACUCGCAGCUCAUUUUCGACGGACCGCUUCCAUGAGUAGACAAGGCACCGACGAUCACGGCUUGCA